rfam:Dipodomys ordii contig_16268, whole genome shotgun sequence.
AAAUUGGUGUUCUUGAACACCACACACUUACUCAUAUUACUAAAAU